CCUCAACCAUCUUUGAGCAUAGGUACUGUACAAUUUGCUAGGGGUUCAAAAUUUCAUCCUUGUAUCUAAUAAAAACAUAUCUCCUGUAUGAACCUCCAGACGUUAAUAUUAGUAUACCAGGCAUGCAGUUGGAAGUGAUCGACUUUGCCGAAUUAGCACGAAAUCUCCACCUAAGAGCUUUCAUCAUCAUCAUCAACCAUCUGCAUAACAUAAUAUUUUAACAAAUAGUUAUAUAUUCCAAAAGCUUCUGUGAUAGCAGAUAUAGAGAACACGUCGAAAGACUUUCGGGUGAACAGUUAGAUAAUGCAAGAAUAUUGGAUGCAGUCUAUAUCCAGUUGAAAUAACAAGAACUUGAAUCCCCAAACCCCUUGCGUGCCUAAAUUGAGAUGUAUUAAGGGGAAGGGGGGAAGAUGAUCUCCAAUCUGUUUAUUAUCUGUUUUCGUGCAACCGUUCAUAUUCACGUUUCUCAUCACACAAACGUCCAAAAAGCGAAAAUCAUAUAAGAAAAAAAAAAAAAAAAAAAAAAACCAAAGAAGCAAAUAGACCAAUUCCUAGAAGGGAAAAGGAGAGUGACGGGAAUUGGAAGUGAAAGCCGGUUGGGAAAUGAAGGAGUUUCAAUGAGUGAACCUCGCGCGAUGAGGAUUGGGAUUCCAGGAAGGGGUGUGAUAUGGUAUUUUACGAGUUCCAAGAGGAGGGUAACAAGUCGCGCAGGGGCAUACACAAAUUUGAAAUUUGCUUGAGGGAUUUGAAACCGGGAGGGUGCGGUAGCGUGUCGGGGGUUGCUAGAGGCAAUAGGAAGGGGUGGAAGCAAAGCAUGAAAGCAGAGGAUUUCGGGAGGUAUGCGUAUUAGAAGCUCGAAUGAUAGGCUGGUUAGAGUUAGAUAGAUGCAUACAAUGCGCGGCGAAAAGAAUGUGACUCCGGAAGAGGAAGAAAAGAAGCAGGAAAGAAGUGAAGAAGGGAAGAAAGAACAAAGACAAGGCGGUCCAUCAAGCAUUCAUCGAGAUAAUCGGGAUACACAGAGGCUCGGAAUCACGGUCCCAAGAAUCUUGGUGCACGCUGGCCUUCGCAUUCCUAACUGAGAUGGCCCGGCCGAUAAGCUGGUGCAGAGUGUUGAUUUGGCGAUGUUGCGUCUCAGAGGUGGAUGCUUGGCGCAGAGAUGAAGGAAAGUUAGACGAUGGCGGCGACGGCUCCCCUGCAGCUUCGUCGUCAACGUUCAGGUAUACCUGGACACUGUCCACAUGAGCUUCCGUAACUGCGUCCAUUGCGGGGGGAGUUAUGCUCUCCGACCCGGGGAAUAAGAUAUGGUCGCUUUCGAGGGGUGCAAAAAGUACGUACGGCGGUUGUGCCGAGCCUUUUCCGUUCUUGUCGUCCUCGUCCUCGCUGUCUGCGUCAUGGGAGUUGGAUUGAGAGCCGAUGAUGGUGCCGGUCUGGGAUGCUUCGAUCCAGGGCUCGUUGCUGACGAACCCCACGAUGAAGUCGCUAUGGGCGUCGGCGGUUGCGAGACUGGCUCGUCUAUAUUCGUGGCAAAACGCCGGAUCGUCUGUCGCUGGAAGACAAAGUACGAGGCCGCGCGCAUGGAGUGGCGGAGGAGGAUAUGGCGGAAGUGAAGCAGCAGGGUUUCCGUCAUUCGGAUGCUCGUCGUCGUCUGAACAGGGGUCUCCCCCUCCAACGGAUGGCAGAGCAGUGGAAAGCUCAGUGUGCUGGGUGAUCGUGCAAGUGAGGGAUAUAACUGACCCUUUCCGCGGGGCAGGGAACAUGCUGUCUAGGUUAUCUCCAAGCCUAUCGCCAUUGCGAAGACAUUCGUCAUCUUCAUCAUCAACAGAACUGGCGUUGAUCUCUACGUCGCCAUCGCCAUCACCAUUGUUGUCAGAUAUGUCUCUCUGCUCGUUCCCGCCACUGAUUUCCGUACGGACAGACUUUUUCAGAACUGCAACCGCUUCUCGCGCGGCCCUUCGAAGGGUUGGAACGAGACGGUCAACACCCUUCCCCUGCUCCGCUGGCCCUAUCACCCAGGUGCUCACCAUUCCUGCCCAAGCCGCGACGCUGACAACACCCUUCGUAUAGCGCUUCCGCGCCAAAUCAAUGUCCCGAUUGAUCUGCUCGCUGGACAUACCCUGAUGUUUCCCCGAGCGCUUCUGAACAUUCAAAAUGCGGCCGCCUUCCCAAAUUAAAAAUCCAUGUUUCUUGGCCACACACGAGAGCCUACGCGCGGCCUCCUGGGACCAGUCGUCGAUGAUAUCAGCGUGCACCUGCAGUACAGCGAUAUAUGGACCCACCGCCCGCGCCAGCCGUAAAAGCGCGGCCAUUGUGCUUAUGUUGGGAGAAGCGGAAACGCAUAUCAGGUGUCCGUAUGGAAGAGUAGUUUUGUGCCGUUUAAGGAGGCGCAGAUAUGAUGUGAUCGGGUUGCCAGAGGCAUCCUGAGCUGGAGGGUCCAUGCUGAGUACGAGAUUGAAGAAGAGCGAUAUGCCGUUCGGCAGUGUUUAGGGUCAAUGCGUUCUAGUAGAGAUUGUGUGCCACGGAUCUAGAGCUCGAGGGAUAUAGACUGAAGAGGAGAGAAUCCGGCGAUGCUUUUAAAGGCAUUCAAAUCAAUGGUUGUUUCUCCUUUUGUUGGGGCGAUCGGAAUGAUAUUCCAACGGCCGGAAGAUUCAAGAGGGAUGAUGACCUGUCUGCGAUCGACAAAGUGCCCCCAACUCCUGGAGUUCCGGGAGUCUGGCCAGCGAAAGAGGAGGUGUUAUUAUUCAACAAUCACCAGCGAGGCGUCUAACUUUCGUGGUAGAGUGUAUGUCCUUUGUUUUUCUUGGGUGAUUAUCGCAUCCCCGCUGCCCUUUUUGCGAACAAACUCUAUCGAUUGUGACGCCUUACUUUUUCGUCCGGAACUUCUCGCUUUUAACUGUCUCAGCAGGACGAAAGAUAGAGAAAAAAAGAAAAUACGGAACUAGACCAAGGAACCAGCAAAAUGUGCGAUGGGAGUCGAGUAAAAUAGAAGGACACGGUUGACAAGCCACAGGAAGGAUCAAAACAAAAUUCAAACUCGCCGCGGGGGCCGGUUUGCCCCAGCCUAAAAGGCCAGCCCAUCGCCGGCUUGCUGGCUCAGUAGUAUAUUUAACCGGGCCCUAGUCUGUCAGCCCUGGUCGCCAUUCUGUCCCAUUGAAUGCUUGUCCAAGGGCCAACCAUGACUGUCGUAGACGCGGUGGCACAGCUAGUGUGGAAACCUGCAGCCCAUCACAUUCCUGGCCACUGAGGGAUGGUAUCCUGGGCUGGGGUUCAAACAAACGAAAAGAAGGGUUCUCUCCAUAGUAUAAAAAAUAAAAAGAAAGAAAGAGAGGACACCUCAGCGGCGACAGGAUGAUGCAGCGGUUGCGGACGUGGCGCUAUCAGCCCUUUUGGAUCCCGGAGGGCCCCUUUGCCGCUGGAAUUGAUAGAAACGUCUUGCUGAACUGACUGCAGUGAAAUUCCAAACCCGUCAGAGUAUGCAUCGAUCUCCGCAUAACUCUAUCUGCGGUGGUACCAGGACUGGAGUUAGGGUGUUGCUGCUCCAUAAGGCCUCGGCCCUCGGGCUAGAUUUGUUUAUCAUAAAACGGCUUGCUUGGUGGCCUCUGGUGGGUGAAAUUUUGGUGGUCAUGUAUUAUCAUCUACUGGAGUGUGGUGAGCUCCUCAAUCCACAAAACUAUCUAUCCGCAGAAGUGCCCCCACACGGGAAGCCGGCCGGUUCACACUUCGAGGCUUGGUUGGAGUCUGAUUUGCAGGAGAAAGCUGGAAGUCUCACGCCACAGGAAGCGGAUCAACAGCGGAAGCAAUUGGUUACCAAACGGGGUCCAUUCUCCUUAGAAAUAUGAUUGACCAUUAUUUAUUAUUUAAAGCCCAGCAUUCCCGCAGGGUUAGAAUGAAGACUGGGAACUUAUUGAAUGGAGAAUUUGAUUCCUUCCGCUAAGCCGCUGACAUGGAUUGGAUGCACCUACGGAUCUCUCCGACUCGGAAACAGGCUAGACGCCAAAAAAAAAGUUAUGUUCCAGGCUUCAGCAGACGCAAAGCUGCAGGCGAUGGCUUUGCCAGACCAAGGUUUACGCAAAACGGCCUGGUUAUCCUGCAUAUGCACCGAUGCCAGAAGGGCGGUCGACUUUUCACCUUGAUUUCAAGCUUUCUAAACAGCCAAAGAAAAGAAGGUUUCAGGGCGAUCGAUGAUGAACGUCCAGGUUGAGCUGGGACUAGCUUUUUUUUUUAUUCCACUCAAGCGCAUGCUGCUGCGUACUGGACAUUGCAGAGAUGAUGCACAUUCCCACUUCGGAGUAAUAAAUGGGGCCUUUUUUCUAUUUUGGCUGCUGUGCAGAUGACGGCACCAAAAAACGACAACAAACCCCCUUCCCCUUCAUGACGACAUGCAUGUUGAGACCUCGCACUGGCUGGUUACAUGCAUUUCCAUACUGAGCAAGCUCCUUACUUUUGUGGCGAAGAGAUAACUAUAGAAAGUCACCAAUUUGCAAUCCGGAUCCCAUGACAUACCAUCAGUGAUUUUUCCUUUGACAGGUUUAAGUAGCGGUUUCUUUCGACGCAGUAAAAGGACCUGCUGGCUGACGUCCUGUUGGCGCUGCUGGGCCGUAGAUCUGGGCUCCUCUCCGAUUUACCCCGCCGGAUCAAUAAUGGGGUCUGAACGAGGGGCAGCACGACGCCUUCAUGGUGGUAACAAGUAACACGAAGCUAGAGGGCUGCACUCGAGGGAGGAGUUAGUUAGGCAAAACAAACAGGACAAGGAGGGGGCCUUCCAGCUGUAGCAGAGAAGAAAUGUAACAGAUACUACGGAGUAGUAUUCUCUUGAUUGCUAUAUUUGUCCAGUCAAGCCCAGGAGUGACGAGCGGUUUCAAUCGCACUCCACUGCGAUGCUUUCUUCUUCUUCCUCUGCCUUGAUGUAUAUGAUCUCCUACUGUUCUUCGUAAGUACUAACUAACAAAUGCUCUGGGCCUUUGCAUCGCCAGUGUUGUUAACUCACCAUUUUCCCCCAUUUCCCCCUUACCUUCGGAGAAUUUUUCCUUGCUUUUUUGUCUUUUCUUUUUUCUUUUUCUUUUUACUCUUCUAGCCCAUACCCAGCUCCUGGCCCUUGCUGUGUGCCGCCUGUUCCUCACAUUCCUCGCGGUCCUCAGCAUCGAUCCUCACUCACUCAUCCAGGGGCCAACAAGGUCAGGGGCCGUUGCCAAGCCAAGCUUUCAGGUGAUCAGCCCACGCAGAAACAAAAACAAACAGGUCGGGGCGAGUGCGCUGGACGUCAUAAGGACUGGGUUAGAAGGUUAAGAUCUUGAAGAAUC
rnacentral:sRNA from 1 species